rnacentral:snoRNA from 1 species
GUGCCGUGAUGACUUCUUAGGACACCUUUGGAUUACACAUGAAAACAACUGAAUGAAAGCUGAGCCCC